CUACGGGGGGCAGCAGUGAGGAAUUUUGCGCAAUGGGGGCAACCCUGACGCAGCAACGCCGCGUGAGUGAAGAAGGCCUUUGGGUCGUAAAACUCUGUCAAUGGGGAAGAAGUUACUAUGGUUAAAUAGGUUGUAGUAUUGACGGUACCCAUGAAGGAAGCACCGGCUAACUCCGUGCCAGCAGCCGCGGUAAUACGGGGGGUGCAAGCGUUAUUCGGAAUUAUUGGGCGUAAAGGGCACGCAGGCGGUCUUGCCAGUCAGAUGUGAAAGCCCGGGGCUCAACCCUGGAAGUGCAUUUGAAACUACAAGACUUGAGUACGGUAGAGGAAAGGGGAAUUCCUGGUGUAGAGGUGAAAUUCGUAGAUAUCAGGAGGAACACCGGUGGCGAAGGCGCCUUUCUGGACCGAAACUGACGCUGAGGUGCGAAGGCGUGGGUAGCGAACAGGAUUAGAUACCCCGGUAGUC
rnacentral:rRNA from 1 species